UGAGCAAUCUGCCCUUCUCAUCGGAAUAAGCGUUGGAAACGACGUCUAAUGCCGAAUACGACCUCCUUUCGCAUGAUCGGAGGUGGAAAGCUCCGGCGGAGAAGGAUGAGCUCGCGGCCUAUCAGCUAGUUGGUGUGGGUAAUGGCCCACCAAGGCGACGACGGGUAGCCGGCCUGAGAGGGUGACCGGCCACACUGGGACUGAGACACCGGCCCAGACCUCCGUACGGGAGCAG
rnacentral:rRNA from 1 species